rnacentral:tRNA from 1 species
GGCGAGGUAGCUCAGUUGGUAGAGCAUACGACUGAAAAUCGUAGUGUCGGCAGUUCGAUUCUGCCCCUCGCCACCA